AGUGAACGCUGCCGGCAGGCCUUACACAUGCAACUCGAACGGCAGCACCGCUCAGGGUUACCGUGAGUGGGGGGUCGUGGAGGACGGGGGCGGAGUGGAGCCGAGUGUGCGGCCUUGGGCGGGUGACUCUCGGGGAAUCCACUCUACUAACCCAUGCCUUACACAGGGGAAAGCAUGGGAUCGUGGGAUCCUGCAGGAAUAUAACAGCCGAUGUCGGAUUAGGGAGUUGGCGGUGUAAAGCCUCACCAAGGCGACGAUCCGUAGCUGGUCUGAGAGGAUGAGCAGCCACACUGGCACUGAGACACGGUCCAGACUCCUACGGGAGGCAGCAGUGGGGAAUCUUGGACAAUGGGCGCAAGCCUGAUCCAGCCAUGCCGCGUGGAGGAUGAAGGCCUUCGGGUUGUAAAGGGAUUUUGUCAGGAAAGAAAAGCAGUAGCUUAAUACGCCCCUGUCCUGACGGUACCCAAAGAAUAAGCACCGGCGAACUCCGUG
rnacentral:rRNA from 1 species